AGUGAACGCUGGCGGUAGGCCUAACACAUGCAAGUCGAACGGCAGCACAGUAAGAGCUUGCUCUUACGGGUGGCGAGUGGCGGACGGGUGAGGAAUACAUCGGAAUCUACUUUUUCGUGGGGGAUAACGUAGGGAAACUUACGCUAAUACCGCAUACGACCUACGGGUGAAAGCAGGGGAUCUUCGGACCUUGCGCGAUUGAAUGAGCCGAUGUCGGAUUAGCUAGUUGGCGGGGUAAAGGCCCACCAAGGCGACGAUCCGUAGCUGGUCUGAGAGGAUGAUCAGCCACACUAGAACUGAGACACGGUCCAGACUCCUACGGGAGGCAGCAGUGGGGAAUAUUGGACAAUGGGCGCAAGCCUGAUCCAGCCAUACCGCGUGGGUGAAGAAGGCCUUCGGGUUGUAAAGCCCUUUUGUUGGGAAAGAAAAGCAGCAGGUUAAUACCCCGCUGUUCUGACGGUACCCAAAGAAUAAGCACCGACUAACUUCGUG
rnacentral:rRNA from 1 species